AAAUGAAUUGACGGGGACCCGCACAAGCAGCGGAGCAUGUGGAUUAAUUCGAAGCAACGCGAAGAACCUUACCAAGGCUUGACAUCGGAUGCAUAGUAUGGAAACAUAUAAAGCCCUUCGGGGCAUCCAGACAGGUGGUGCAUGGUUGUCGUCAGCUCGUGUCGUGAGAUGUUCGGUUAAGUCCGGCAACGAGCGCAACCCUCGUGAUUAGUUGCCAAUAUUAAGUUAGGGACUCUAAUCAGACCGCCGUGGGCAACACGGAGGAAGGUGGGGAUGACGUCAAAUCAUCAUGCCCCUUAUGCCUUGGGCUUCACACGUGCUACAAUGGUUGUUACAAAGAGCAGCGACCGCGUAAGCGUGAGCGAAUCUCAAAAAAACAAUCUCAGUUCGGAUUGAGGGCUGCAACUCGCCCUCAUGAAGUCGGAGUUGCUAGUAAUCCCGAAUCAGAAUGUCGGGGUGAAUGCGUUCCCGGGUCUUGUACACACCGCCCGU
rnacentral:rRNA from 1 species